GGUAUAGACCCGAAACCCGGUGAUCUAGCCAUGGGCAGGUUGAAGGUUGGGUAACACUAACUGGAGGACCGAACCGACUAAUGUUGAAAAAUUAGCGGAUGACUUGUGGCUGGGGGUGAAAGGCCAAUCAAACCGGGAGAUAGCUGGUUCUCCCCGAAAGCUAUUUAGGUAGCGCCUCGUGAACUCAUCUUCGGGGGUAGAGCACUGUUUCGGCUAGGGGGUCAUCCCGACUUACCAACCCGAUGCAAACUACGAAUACCGAAGAAUGUUAUCACGGGAGACACACGGCGGGUGCUAACGUCCGUCGUGAAGAGGGAAACAACCCAGACCGCCAGCUAAGGUCCCAAAGUCAUGGUUAAGUG
rnacentral:rRNA from 1 species